rnacentral:rRNA from 1 species
UACGUAGGUGGCAAGCGUUGUUCGGAAUUACUGGGCUUAAAGGGUUUGUAGGCGGCCUUGUAAGUCAGGUGUGAAAUCCCUCGGCUCAACCGAGGAAUAGCGCUUGAUACUGCAAGGCUUGAGGGAGACAGGGGUAAGCGGAACUGAUGGUGGAGCGGUGAAAUGCGUUGAUAUCAUCAGGAACACCGGUGGCGAAAGCGGCUUACUGGGUCUCUUCUGACGCUGAGGAACGAAAGCUAGGGGAGCGAACGGG